UGAGGAAUAUUGGUCAAUGGGCGGGAGCCUGAACCAGCCAAGCCGCGUGAGGGAAGAAGGCCCUAUGGGUCGUAAACCUCUUUUGUCAGGGAACAAAAGCGAGUAUGUAUACUAGUCUGAGUGUACCUGAAGAAAAAGCAUCGGCUAACUCCGUGCCAGCAGCCGCGGUAAUACGGAGGAUGCGAGCGUUAUCCGGAUUUAUUGGGUUUAAAGGGUGCGUAGGCGGUCUGUUAAGUCAGCGGUAAAAGCCCGGGGCUCAACCCGCGAGCGUGAAACUGGCGGACUAGAGACGGUGAGAGGUAUGCGGAAUGCGCAGUGUAGCGGUGAAAUGCUUAGAUAUUGCGCAGAACUCCGAUUGCGAAGGCAGCGUACUGGCGCCUGACUGACGCUGAGGCACGAAAGCGUGGGGAUCGAACAGGAUUAGAUACC
rnacentral:rRNA from 1 species